AGUGAACGCUGGCGGCAGGCCUAACACAUGCAAGUCGAGCGGCAGCGCGUCCGACCACCCUCGGGUGGUCGGAUGGCGGCGAGCGGCGGACGGGUGAGGAAUGCAUCGGAAUCUGCCUCGUUGUGGGGGAUAACGUAGGGAAACUUACGCUAAUACCGCAUACGACCUACGGGUGAAAGUGGGGGACCGUUCGGGCCGUCACGCGAUGAGAUGAGCCGAUGCCGGAUUAGCUAGUUGGCGGGGUAAAGGGCCCACCAAGGCGACGAUCCGUAGCUGGUCUGAGAGGAUGAUCAGCCACACUGGAACUGAGACACGGUCCAGACUCCUACGGGAGGCAGCAGUGGGGAAGUAUUGGACAAUGGGGGCGAACCCUGAUCCAGCCAUGCCGCGUGUGUGAAGAAGGCCUCGGUUGUAAGUCGACUUUGUUGGGU
rnacentral:rRNA from 1 species